rnacentral:lncRNA from 1 species
GGUUAAAAAAACUUGCUCAACAUCACAUGGUGGGACUCAGCAUGCUGACUUCAGGUUAGCCGUUCUAUCCCAUGAAGAAACGGACCCUCUCGUGGGUCGUUGAUGGUCCAUUAUGAUUGCAUCUUUCCUGGUCUCAUCCUUAGAAUAGUCUCAUUGGAGACUGAUCCAGACAAAUAAUCCUCAAGGAACUGCUUUUUUCUUUUUGUUGGAACAGAUUUUAACCGGACCACUAAUGUCAGAAAGGACACCAAUACACUCAGUGGAGAGCUGCUGCUCAUUUUCCCUGUGCAAGAUGCAGAAAUCUGGAAUUCAAAGAGGCUUUGCAGAGUUUAGAGCAUAUUCUACCCAACUGGCCCCAGAUGGAAAAUACUCUUUUGAAAUUGGAUGGCUUUUUAAGUGUAGCUCUCCACAGCCUGCUCAAGGAAAAAAAAAAAGUAAGCUCGAACAGAAUGCAUUUAGUAGCAUGGUCUAUAAUUCCCCCAGCAUCGCACGUAUUUGGAUGUUUUUGCUUUUGGCAGUGGAAUUUUUCUAAUUUAAUUAACUCAUUAAUGUUAGCAGAUGACACAGUGUGAAAAUUCUUUUCCCUAGCCACUUACAUAUUCUUCCAAUCCACUGGAGUUAUGUGUACACUUUAUUUAUUUAUUUAUAAAAUUUAUUUAUCUGUUUUGUUUCUAUACUGACCUUCCCUUUAAGAGUUCACAGGCAACAUGUAGACAUUUUAUGUAAUGUAUUAUAAACCUUUUUUAAAGCAAUAAAUGGAGAAGAAUCAGAGGAAAGAAAUAAAGAGCGGUGGUGCAGGGGGAGAUCUUUACAAAGGAAGAGUGGGAGAGAAGGAACAGAUGGUUUGAGAAGAGCAGCCAGAGCUAAAAUGCUUACCCUGGUCUAAGCGCAUGCAAUUCUGUCUCUUCAUUCUUAGUUCAUACAUUGAAGAUUAGCAAUAGUUUGUGUCUGGAAAUCAGCUGGCAACACCAGGAAUGACAAUAAAGGCAAGUCCUCCAGGGUUAGCUCAAUAAAAAGUGAAUCCUCCUUGCUCAACUCAUGUA